GACGAACGCUGGCGGCGUGCCUAAUACAUGCAAGUAGGACGCAGUUGCGAACGGGUGAGUAACGCGUAGGUAACUACCUAUUAGAGGGGGAUAACUAGUGGAAACGAUAGCUAAUACCGCAUACUAGUAGAUGGACCUGCGUUGUAUUAGCUAGUAGGUAGGGUAAUGGCCUACCUAGGCAACGAUACAUAGCCGACCUGAGAGAGUGAUCGGCCACACUGAGAGUGAGACACGGCCCAUGCUCCUACGGGAGGCAGCAGUAGGGAAUCUUCGGCAAUGGGAGGAGCCCUGACCGAGCAACGUCGCGUGGGUGAAGAAGGUUUUCAGAUCCGAAAGCUCUGUUGUUAAGGAAGCGGUACUUAACCAGAAGGGGACGGCUGACUACGUGCCAGCAGCCGCGGUAAUUC
rnacentral:rRNA from 1 species